GAUGAACGCUGGCUACAGGCUUAACACAUGCAAGUCGAGGGGAAACGACGGGGAAGCUUGCUUCCCCGGGCGUCGACCGGCGCACGGGUGAGUAACGCGUAUCCAACCUGCCUCUGACUGAGGGAUAACCCGUCGAAAGUCGGCCUAAUACCUCAUGGCAUCGUCUGCGGGCAUCCAACGACGAUUAAAGAUUUCAUCGGUCAGCGAUGGGGAUGCGUCUGAUUAGCUUGUUGGCGGGGUAACGGCCCACCAAGGCGACGAUCAGUAGGGGUUCUGAGAGGAAGGUCCCCCACAUGGGAACGGAGACACGGUCCAAACUCCUACGGGAGGCAGCAGUGAGGAAUAUUGGUCAAUGGGCGAGAGCCUGAACCAGCCAAGUAGCGUGCAGGAUGACGGCCCUAUGGGUUGUAAACUGCUUUUAUGCGGGGAUAAAGUGAGGGACGUGUCCUUCAUUGCAGGUACCGCAUGAAUAAGGACCGGCUAAUUCCGUG
rnacentral:rRNA from 1 species